CCCGGACAGUCUGCAAGGCACACAUUACAGCUUUGGUUAUUACAAGAGGAUGUCCACUCGGAAAGAAUGCCACAUUUGCAAGGAAAAAAUUGGGGUAGCCAGCAAAACAUGUCAGCACUGUGGUGCCAAGCAGCCUUACAAGCAAAUACUCGAAAAACGCAAGAAAAAGGUUUCCCUUGACUGGAAGGAGAGGCAGAAAAAAACUGCAAUGUUAACAAUGAUGCAACCAAUCUACUGCUCCACAAGUGGGAAAUUUUAGAGCGGCAUCCAAUCCUCCUCCUUUCCAGGAGAACUACAAAUGGUUUUGUAACAGAGUAUUUCUGUCCAUGGCAAAUGGACACUGAAGAUGCCAAGGAUGCCUUUGUCACAAUAAAGAAGAUUUAUGAAAGUCUUCUUAACGCUACAAAACCUCCACUGGUCAACAAUACUGUGACUGGAAAGAAAGUGCUGCAGGAAGACUAUGAAUCCUCAACAUCAGCCAAGCAUCAAACCAGUGCA